rnacentral:rRNA from 1 species
AGUGAACGCUGGCGGUAGGCCUAACACAUGCAAGUCGAACGGCAGCACAGUAAGAGCUUGCUCUUACGGGUGGCGAGUGGCGGACGGGUGAGGAAUAUAUCGUAAUCUACUUUUUCGUGGGGGAUAACGUAGGGAAACUUACUCCAAUACCGCAUACCACCUACCGUUGAAAGCAGGGGAUCUUCGCACCUUGCGCGGUUGAAUGAGCCGAUGUCGGAUUAGUUAGUUGGCGGGGUAAAUGCCCACCAAGUCGACGAUCCGUAGCUGGUCUGGGAGGAUGGUCGGCCGCACUGGAAGUGAGACGCGGUCCAGACUCCUACGAGAGGCAGCAGUGGGGAAUAUUGGACAAUGGGCGCAAGCAUGAUCCAGCCAUACGGCGUGGGUGAAGAAGGCCUUCGGGUUGGAAAGCCCGUUUGUUGGGAGAGAAAAGCAGCAGGUUAAUACCCCGCUGUUCUGACGGUACCCAAAGAAUAAGCACCGGCUAACUUCGUG